UCCUACCUCGGGACCAUGUUUGGGAACAUUCAUCUCGUCUGCAUGAAAGCACUGGCAUCAUCUAGUGGUUGUUUUUAACGAUUCAGACGAUUAUCCAGUGUGCCGCUAGAUGAUGUUGGUAUUGUUUUUUAAAAUGGCGAAAUGUGUUAAAAGUUAUGUCAUCUUCUGUAUUCGAAUUUUCAAUGUUUUACUGCCCAAAAUCAAACAAUUAUUUACAUACAAUGUACCUGCCGUCUAGUCAUCAGAUUAAAUGUGGACCCCAUUUAAAGAAAAAAUUGAUCAGCACUUCCUAAACUCACAGCUUCAUCUGCAUCAUCCUCUCACAUCGUAGACAAAACUUCAAGCUGUUUUGCCCAAUAGUUGUGGCAUUGGACCUAUGGUUACAGGUUUGUUCUUGCCUGAAAGAUGUUUACACCUUUGAACACUUGACGGUGUUGUUGCGUCAUGAAAUUGUAUUGCUGCCAUUCCCUGUAUCUCCCACUUCACAGAGCUCUGCAAGAAAUGAGUAAUAGGAAGCCUACAACAGAUUGAGGAAUUAAACAAUUAAUAGGUUCCGUGAUAUGCCAUUGGAUUUCGCGAGUAGCCGCCAAUGUCAAACUACAACGCAGUUUCUUUAUUGGAAUUGUGUGGUCCUGGCACAGAAAUCCUUGAUGCUGGCCUUUGUUCAUAACAGAAGAGUGACUUCUACCACUUUUCUGCUCCAUCCUAAUCUUCGCUACCCACACUCAUCUAGCUUCUCUGCAUAUUAUGCUGCUAAACAAUUUGCCGUACUUCACUGACGAGUUAGACUAGUCGCUUCCGUCCGCAGCGACACAUGUACUGUCACUUACCACGGGAUUAUGCCCAGAUACGGAGUCAGUAGUUCAGUAAAUAUUCAUUCGAC
rnacentral:lncRNA from 1 species